rnacentral:rRNA from 1 species
ACGCGAGCUGGGUUCAGAACGUCGUGAGACAGUUCGGUCCCUAUCCGUCGCAGGCGUAGGAAAUUUGAGACGACCUGUCCUUAGUACGAGAGGACCGGGAUGGACGUACCUCUGGUGUACCAGUUGUUCUGCCAAGGGCAUGGCUGGGUAGCUAUGUACGGAAUGGAUAAGCGCUGAAAGCAUCUAAGCGCGAAGCCAACUUCAAGAUAAGAUUUCCCACCGCAAGGGUAAGACCCCAGAAAGACUAUCUGGUUGAUAGGUCGAAGGUGUAAGUGCAGCAAUGUAUUUAGCUUAUCGAUACUAAUAGGUCGAGGACUUGACCAAU